rnacentral:rRNA from 1 species
UACGUAGGGGGCGAGCGUUAUCCGGAUUCACUGGGUGUAAAGGGAGCGUAGACGGCCAUGCAAGCCAGGGGUGAAAGCCCGGGGCCCAACCCCGGGACUGCCCUUGGAACUGCAUGGCUGGAGUGCGGGAGGGGCAGGCGGAAUUCCUGGUGUAGCGGUGAAAUGCGUAGAUAUUAGGAGGAACACCAGUGGCGAAGGCGGCCUACUGGACGGUGACUGACGCUGAGGCUCGAAAGCGUGGGGAGCAAACAGG